GGCCUCCUAAGUUAUCCUUUCAAGGGCAGAGAAGUGAGAAGAAAGUGACCUGCUAGCAACUGCCUGUGCAAAGAGACUCAAUGAAAGAAGAGACUCCUCUUGUGAAGACCCAAGAACUUCAGGGUCAGAAUGAGGAUAAGAAUUUGGUGCUGUGACAUUUCUACACAUAUUCUUCUGUGCAUUUGCCUUGAAAUCUUGGGAACUUCCCUGCUCACAAACCUCAUACACUACAUGAAAUUCCUUUGUUUUUCUGUGACUUUUUGGUCAGAUUCAAGGUGUUUUGAGAUACCCAAACUACUGCUUGCUGAAGUCAACUCAAUAAUUAAAAACAACAUCAAGUGAUACCGAUUAUUUGGCACUAUACAGACAAAACAACCUACUGCAUGAAUUAUAGGCCACUUUGCUGCCCAGAUGAAACAGGAUCAAAGUGAACACUUGCCUUCCUCCAAACUUAGGUAAAAAUGGAGAGAGACAGAGGUAACAAACAGGAAAGCAUUUCGACCAUUCAUAUAUGUGGCUCUGUUUCAACAGUGUUUGCCAUAUACUACAGGUAGCUACAAGUGAUGUUUCUCAUUGUAAACGUAUUUUUUCAGAUUGCAAAUAUAUCUUGCUUUUUGAUUGCUUUUAUUUGAUGGAUUCAAUGCCAUGUACCAUAGGCAAAGCCCUGUGCUAGAAGAUGAAGAGGUAUAGAUGAUUAUAAAGCAGAAUCCCAGCUCCCAAAGAACAGAUGAGGGAGAAAACAAAAUAUUUACAGAAUAUUUGUAUGUGUGAAGGACCUCAUUGCAGUACUACUGGUUACGAAGGAAGUCCAUGGGAAUCCAGUGGGGGCAGGAGCUGGAACUGAGAAGGCGGGGCCAUUCGUGAACAGAGACAGCAGACUGAACAUACCAGGUGGUGCUGCAGGGAGGGAGGUGAGAGGAGCAGGCACUCUCCCUAAGCAUACCCCAUCAGUUUUGAAGGUAUGCUUACAUGACCCUUGUGAAAAUCAUGAUAAAAAGAUGUUAACCAGGCUGGGCAUGGUGGCUCACACCUGUAAUCCCAGUACUUUGGGAGACCAAGGUCAGCGGAUCAUUUGAGGCCAGGAGUUCAAGACCACCAUGACCAACAUGGCAAAACCCCAUCUCUACUUAAGAUUUAAAAAUUAGCUGGGAGUGGUGGUAUGUGCCUGUAAUCCCAGCUUCUCAGGAGGUUGAGGCGCAAGAAUUGCUUGAACCUGGGAGGUGGAGGUUACAGUGAGCUGAGAUUAUGCCACUGCACUCCAGCCUGGGUGACAGAGCGAGACUCUGUCUUAAUCUCAAAAAAAAAGAUGUUAACUGAAAGUAAGAAAACAGGAGCAUGAAAUACAAAAAACAAAAAGGCAAAGAGAGAAAACAGGAGCAUGAGACAAGUGGAGAAAGAUCUUCAAGAGUGAUGCAUUUUUAUGUUAAUUAUCCCAUCCCAACUGAAGCACAGGAUCCACCCGCUUCCCUGUCCUUGCCUCACCACAGGCUGGUUCUUCCUAAACAUUUCACCUGACCGAGCCUCUCAGGGGAGGGAGGAUGGUGCUGAAAUAUUGAGAGAGAUAAGCAAAGGCCACGCAGAGCAAUGCCAGCACUGCAGGGAGUACUGAGUAGCUCCUUUUGAUGGGAAUUUCUGGAGUGCACAGGAAAAUAGCAGAAGAGAAGGCUGGAAAGGUAAAUAAAGAUCUGACUUCAGAAAACGGGAAAUUUCAGCUUAUGGGCUUUGGACUCUUCUCAGUAGUCUAUGGAAAGUUCUGAACAGGGAAUCAAAAGCACAAUCAAAAUAGUGUUUUAAGAAUAGGAACACCUUGAGUAUAUUUAAGCAUGUAUUUACAGAUUAGCUACUUGGCAGAAAGCCUUGGGUCAGCAGGAAAGAGACAAAUAUUCAAAGCUCAAGGGUUAGCAAUUAGCACUAAGACCCUUAUCGACUGCCUACUCAGCUGGCACUGGUCACUUACUCUUUUGGACUACAAUUACCAUCUCAUAUGCAAUGAGGGCUAGGGCCAGAGAACUAGGUUACAGACUCUCCAGGAUGGAGUCCACAGAUAAUGAAUGGCAAAUGCUCACCACACGUUUCCUGUUAGAAAUGAUGACAAGACUAGAUAUUUUUUUUCCUCUUACUCUUUCAUUCUUGUUGCCCAGGCUGGAGUGCAAUGGUGCGAUCUUGGCUCACCGUAACCUCUGCCUCCCGGGUUCAAGUGGUUCUCCUUCCUCAGCCUCCCGAGUAGCAGGGAUUACAGGCAUGCACCAUCACACCCAGGUUCUGGGGUACAUGUGAAGAACAUGCAAGAUCGCUGCAUAGGUACACACAUGGCAGUGUGAUUUGCUGCCUUCCUCCCCUUCACCUAUAUCUGGCAUUUCUCCCCAUGCUAUCUCUCCCCAACUCCCCAGCCCCCGCUGUCCCCUCCCCUAUUCCCCCCAACAGCCCCCAGUGUGUAGUGCUCCCCUCCCUCUGUCCAUGUGUUCUCAUUGUUCAACACCCGCCUAUGAGUGAGAACAUGCGGUAUUUCACUUUCUGUUCUUGUGUCAGUUUGCUGAGAAUGAUGGAAUCCAGGUUCAUCCACUGACAUUCAUUUCUUAAAUGUGUCUUACGUUUUCCCUGUUGAGAAGGUGGGUGGAUUGGAACUGACUCAGGCUGGACACAUCGUAGGUAGAACAGGUCAGUACAUGGAUAAUAAUAAAUUAAUAUAGAUAAUAAACUAUAGUGAGAGAUGUCUAGUAUGUUAAAUUUAUUCUAUUUAUUAUUAUCCAGGUCUAUUUUGUGUUAAUUAUUGUUUUUCCAAAGGGGCCACCAGAAAAAUCUGUUGAUUAAGCAAAUCUAAGUGUAUUAGACCUACAGCAGUCAGGAGAAUACUACAUUGUUAGACUCUGAGAAUCAGCUGUAAACAGAGACAUUGGGAAAGGGUGUUAGAGGCUGUUACCGCCCAGAUUCUGUGAUUUUAAGGCAUGUCUUGCAAGGCAAGAAGUGAGAUGAGAUUGGGCAAAAUUAACAUAUAAUAGGCUUAAAGAGGUGAACACAAGGAGGUGAGGGUCUUGUCUUUGUUUUGUUUUGAAAUAGAGUCUCACUUUGUCACCUAGACUAGAGUACAGUGGUGCCAUCAGAGCUCACUACAGCCUCAAACUCCUGGGCUCAUGCUAUCUUUCUGUCUCUGUCUCCUGAGUGGCUAGGAUUACAGGCAUGGCACCACAUCCAGGUAAUUUUUUAGUUUUUAUUUUUGUGGAAAUGGAGUCUCACUAUGUUGCCCAGGUUGGUCUUGAACUCCUGGCCUCAAGUAGUCCUCUCAUCCCCGCCUCCCAAAGCACUGAGACUACAGGUGUCACUAUGCCCCACUGAGAUGAGGGUCUUGAAGUGAGCCUUUAUGAGCAAGCUGUUAGUUUUGAUAAGAAGCUACUUUAAUUGGUUCACAGUGUUAUUUUCCAAGAGCAAGAAUUUAAUGGAGAAGGUAGUGAAGUAUUGCUCCCAGCAUUGUCUAACGCAGGAGCAGGUCUCACGAUCAGACUCCAUUCCUUCACCUUCUCUUCUAACACUGAAUGUCUUUGCAAAUACACAUCCCUGAAGUCAGGAGAGGAGGCAUUUGCUGCAUUGGUGGGUGUGGGGGUUCUGCAAGCAUCUGCCAGCUUAGCGGGAAUGCUAGACCAUCCUAGGAAGAGAUGGGCCACCUCCACAAGCCCAAGGGGCCAGGCGGGGAGUAGAGUUCAGAUCUUCAGGGGUGAUCUGGUAGCCAGGACCUACAUAGCCCUAUACCAUAUUUAGGAUCCUAGGUUUUCCCCACAAGGGCACUGACCUUUACAUAACAGACCUGCCUUGGCCGAGUACUUAAAACUCUCUGGAGCUCCAUGACUCUAAUAAUCAGGUCCUCAGCCUGCUCUCAGCUGUGUGUCUCUUCCUCCUCUGUGGGAGAUGGAAGCCUCUUUGUCAGCUGUCACAGGGCCCUGCAUGAACAGGCAUUUGUCUCUCUUUCCUCUGAGUACAUCAAAACAGCUUAGUGAGAUCCAGCCCACUCUGCCUUUUUUCUGUAGGCAUUUUCCCACUUGUAUUCUUAAAAUGACUACAUCAUGGCACAAGCCACAUUAUCCCCUCCCAGAACAUGUGACAGGCCACUACUGGUCAAGUCUGGAGCCUUAGGCCAGGGACUCGAAAUGACCCAUCUCCCAGCCAGAAUUGCAACCUCUCCACCUGCUAGAGUGAGUAGGCCCAUUCCACAUCUCAGCUUCCUGCCUGUUUCUCAACCCAUUUCUGUCCCCACUGCAUUAUUCUGGGUCCUUCCAGAAGCAGAUGCACGAUGGGAUUGAUUGUGCUGGAAAUUCAUUAGGGGAAAGACCUGUAAGAGGCAGCGAGGAGGCAGCUGAGGAGACAGGAAGAGCCAUCAGGCUGCAAGGCAAGCCUGGCCAUGAGUGAAGGAGGACGGAAGGAGGAAGUUUAGACGGAAGCCCCAGGCUGCUCUGCAGUGCUCAGAGCUCAGCAAGGCUGUCGCCCAAUCCUUGAGCCAAAGUUGUCCAUAAGGCUGCCAGGGAAGGCUGCCAUCAGGGAAGCAGGGUCUUGGCGCAAAUGCAGCAAUGCAUCUCAGAGCGCAGCAGCUGGACUAUUGGCUCAGUCACACUCCCUGCAGUUGCAGAUCUGAGGAACACCUUCCCAUAGCUGCCACACACACACACACACACACACACACACACACACACACACAAUACAUCACACACGGAUGCACAGACACAGACACCAAACCCACACACAGCACACACACACAUCACAUAUACACACCCUUCACAGAGACAGACACACAAAUACCAGACACAUAUUCCAUACCAUACCACACACACCACACAAACAUUGCACACAUGCCCACAGAACAGAACACACACACAGACAUUGCACACCCACACACCACACACACACACACACACCACAUUAUGCCAUAUACACACACACUCACACAUGUAUAUCACAUGACACAUGCAGACAUGGACACCAAACAUAUGCACACCACAUACCCCCCACAGACAGACACACACAGACACUGCAUACGUAUACUUCCACACACAGAUUCACAAUGGAUAGAUGAAUAUAUAAGAAAGAUUUUUAAAAAAUUCUUACUAUUAUUUAAAUACCAUUUUUACCCAAGUAAACAGCAUCAAACUUAAACUUUUAUGACGAUGAACUCUGCAAUUGGCAAAUUGUAUUUAAACAUAAGUAAAUCUACUUUCAGAUUUAAGUUGGAAAUAAAAGGUGCAGGUUAAUUUAAAAUAUUAAGAUUUCCUUAGCUUCAUGUUGAAAUCUUUCCAUGACCUCAUCCCAAACCACCUUGUUGGUUUUCUCAUGACAUUGACCAGCAAAACCUACCCUGGCUGCACUGUCUUACUUGUGGUUACUGGCAAUGCUAUUCACUUCUGUGACUCUUUCCCUUUGCUUUGCUAUUUCUUCUGUGUGGAGUUCCUUUUGUGCCAUUCUCCACAAAUCAACAUCCCACUCAUUAUUCAAAAUCUGCUUCUGCCAUUCCUGAGUUGGGAUGAGUUGCUUCUCACUCUAACUAUUGUUUCUUAUAGAACUUCUGUCCCUGAAGGGGCAGAAGAGAAGCAUUCGCCAGGCACCUAGAAUUGUGUUGGCCACUAUCUUAGUCUGCGCCUGCAGCUAUAACAAAACACCUGAGGCUGGGUCAUUUAUAAAGAACAGAAACUUCUAUCUCACAGUUCUGGAGGCUGGAAGUCCAAGGUCAAGGCACCAGCUGAUUCAGUAUCUGCUGAGGGCCAUUCUCUGCUCCAGGGUGGUAAACCUUCCAACACCUGAAUAUUGGAGGGUCAUAGACAUUCAAACCACAGCAGCACAUUCACAUCGCCCCUGGAAUCCCUAUAUCAACCCAGCAAAGCAAGUGCUAUUAUCCUUAUGUUUACUUAUUGUAUCCAUUUUUCAAUGCUGCAUAACAAAUCACUGUAAACUCAGUGGCUUAAAAUAACCCACAUUUAUUCUCUGUUUCUGUGGGGCAGGUGUCUGGGCACAGCCUAGUUGGGUCCUCAGCAAAACUGCAAUAGGGUCCUGAUCUGGAGACUCCCAUGGGUAGGGAUCUGCUUCCAAACUCACCGAAGUGUGGAAAGAAUGUAUUUCCUUGUGGAUGUAGACCUCAUGGUAGCUGGCUUCUUCAAACCUUUCAAGGAGACCAAAUCUUGUAUAACUGCAUAAUCCUGGGAGUCACACCCCAUCACGUUGGUCAUAUUCUGUUGGUUAGGAGUAUCUAAAAGUCUAUGCCAUACACAUAUGCAUAUGAGUGGAAACUUCAGACAGAUGCUCAUUUCUUUCAGUAGUUAGAUGUUGUGAUGGGAUGGAGAUGCCGUGAUGCUGAGGAACCUUUAACUGGUGUUUCUUACUUGCACGUCCUCUCCCAAGGCCCAUGGAGGGGCCCAUGGGUGAACCUAAGCUUUGUGGGUCCUGAAGCUUGUGCAUAUAUGCAAAAUAACAAUUACAAAAAUUGCUAGUGCCCCUCGCAGGGCCUGCAGGUGACAGGCCCUGCAGCUUAGGUUUCUUGGUAAAUCUGUCACCUGUGGAUGUGUCAUCGCCAUUAUUAGAAUUUCCCUGGGGUUAUCAUUGAGUCUAUUAUAGGAUCUGGAAAACAGAAAUCAUUCAAAAUACUGCAUCUCCCUAAGUCAUCAGAGGCACUCUCAGUGCCUCUUGUCCCGAAAUUUGCUUCCCCUCCUCCCCUCUCCCUUGCCACACAGGCUCUUGGUGCCACCUGGUUUGAAGUGGUGCCACAGCCUCUGUUUCUCCCACUCCCUCAACCCUUACCUUUCUGUUUUCCUCUCAAACCAGCUAGGCGUUCACAGAACCAACUCCCCAGCUCAUGUUUUCUUUGUGUUGUACCCAUCUGGCAAAAACCCAAGUAUCAUACAUAUGUAUGUCUGUGUGCCCGUGUGUAGGGGGGUCUGUGUGUUUCUGUGUGUGUGGGUCUAUGUCUGUGUUUCUGUGUAUAUGUGUGUCUGUGUUUCUAUGUCUGUGUGUGUGUCUGUAUAUGUGUCUCUGUGUGUGUCUGUCUCUGUGUGUCUGUGUGUGUGCAUGUCUGUAUGUCUGCAUCUGUGUUUGUCUCUCUGUGUGUGUGUGUGUGUGUGUGUGUUGUGUAUAGCUUCUGCUCCAGGAGUGCCACACACCAGCGCGCAGGUCCUGCCAUGCUCACAGGGUGUGAUGCUCACCCCUUGCUGUGUCUGUGGCCCCCCUCGCCCUCUCACUCUCCAGAGGAGCCAUCGAGCGGAUCCUCUCCUCUCUCUCAGCUGCCCACUCCUCCUCCUCCCUCUCAGCCAAUGACUGAGCAUCCCACUUCACAGAGAAAAUAUAAGCUACCAGAUGGCAGUGCCUGUCUUUCUCCUACCAUGUCUGUGAGGCCGCUUCCACCCUCCACAUCCUCGUCUUGCUCUGGGGAGAAUCAGCUAACUCCACACCAGGCUCACUCUCCACCUGUGCUCUAGGCCUCCCUGCCCCCACCCCAGCUGCCUUCUCAGAAACCUCACUGUAUGGAUUAGCCCUUUCCCCCUUCUAAUGAUCUAUUUUAUCUUUUUAUCCAAUUCCUGCCUCAAACGACUUUCUCAUAGGUUUUUAGAUAUCUAGAAACCAAACCAACCCGAGUCAAAGGAGAAGAAGGGAAAAUGACUCUGUGUUGUCCCUUCACACCCCUCACCCCUGCAGCUCUGCCCUGUCUCUUUCAUCUCUGUACAGCCAAGUUUCUGAAAACACUUGAUGAUACGUGUUGUCCUCAUAUUCUUAUUUUACAUUCAUUCUUCAAGGACUCCACUUCCGUGAAUGCACUGGUUCAGCUUUGUUGAGGUGUCCUGCCAUCACUAAAUUCCAGAAAGGCUCAUUGGCUCUUUCAGCAUCGUCUGACACUGCCAGCCUAACCACUCCCUCCUUGAAACACAGGCCUUCUUUUCCUUCUGAGGAAGAUACUGUGGGCUGACUCAUUCAGCAUUCAUUCUAUUUCUGCUUUGCAUACCUUCUUGGCAGCAGGGAGAAAGCUAAAAAUGACAUUUUCCAUAUUCCCUCUCCACUGUUUCCAGUUGAGGUUUCAAUUCCACCCAUCAGACGCCUCUCUGAGACUGUUAUUUGAAACUGAGAUGCUGGGCAGGAAGGCAGGGCUAGAGGCAUCGCUUUUUGCUGGUGUGCAUUGCAGUGGGGCAGGAAGGUUCUCCAGCUGAUAGCAGGGACAUAGCUUCCAGAUCAAUGACUCCCUGAUGAUGGCAGAGGCAGCAGCUCCUCUGACAGUUAUUCCUGGAAGCUCAGCCUAGCCUCUGUGUCCUUGCUUUUCCUAACAAUUCUAUGAAUUGCUAGUGACUUUUAAUACAUGUCUUUUAUUUAAAUUAGCUAGAGUGUAUUCUGAUGUCCAAGACAGCAUUGAUCAAAGCAAUGACCGUAACACAGCACUACAUUCCUCUUCUUGAGCCUCAUGGCUCCUUGUCCUGUUGGUGGCUUUCUGUCAGACCAUGUAAUGAAGCAGUCCCCAUGGCCCUAUACUCACCUCCUUCCUUGUCUUCUUCUUGCCUUUUCUCCUUCACUGGGCAUUCCUAUCCAUGCCCAUGCUGCAACUAGCACCCAGAUAAAAUGAUUCAGGGAUGCUAUGUCCAACCAAACCGCUUUUCUGUAAGAUACUAAAUUUGUGGCAAUCUGUCAGCAAUAGAAAACUAAUACAUUGAUUUCUUAGAAACUUAUUUUCUAUCAAUGUGUUAGUUUUCUACUGCUGCCCUAACAGAUUGCCACAAAUUUAGUAGCUUAAAACAAUAUUCAUUAUUAUCCCGCAGUUCAAAGGGUGGGUGCAGUGGGGCUUGUCUGGGUCCUCUGCCUAGAGUCUCACAAAGCUGAAAUCAAGCUGUCAGCAGGCGAGCAUUCCAUUAGAGGCUCUGCGGGUGAAUCUCUGCCAAAGCUCAUUCAGGUUGUUGGUAUAAUUUGGUUCCUUGUGGCUGCAGGACUGAGGUCCCUGUUUCCUUGCUGGUUGUCACACAGGGCUUCUGCAGCUCCUUAAGGCCACCUGUGUUCCUUGUCAUCUUGCCCUUUCCUUCUUCAAACCAAUGGUGUAUUAAAUCUUUCUCAUGCUGUGAAUCUCUCUUGUUUCUCCUUCUGCCUUUUUUUCUGAUUGCAGUUGGAGAAACUUCUCUGCUUUUUUGUGUUUUUGCUUUUUUUUUAAAAUUGCAUUUUAGGUUUGGGGAUACAUGUGAAGAACAUGCAAGAUUGUUGCAUAGGUACACACGUGGCAGUGUGAUUUGCUGCCUUCCUCCCCAUCACCUAUAUCUGGCAUUUCUCACCAUGCUAUCUCUCCCCAACUCCCCAACCCCCACUGUCCCUCCCCUAUUUCCCCCAAAAGAUCCCAGUGUGUGAUGCUCCCCUCCCUGUGUCCAUGUGUUCUCAUUGUUCAACACCCGCCUAUGAGUGAGAACAUGCAGUAUUUCAUUUUCUGUUCUUGUGUCAGUUUGCUGAGAAUGAUGGUUUCCUACAAAGGACAUGAACUUAUCAUUUUUUAUGGCUGCAUAAUAUUCCAUGGUGUAUAUGUGCCACAUUUUCCCUGUCCAGUCUAUCAUCGAUGGGCAUUUGAGUUGGUUCCAGGUCUUUGCUAUUGUAAACAGUGCUGCAAUGAACAUUCAUGUGCAUGUGUCCUUAUAGUAGAACAAUUUAUAAUCCUUUGGAUAUAUACCCAGUAAUGGGAUUGCUGGGUCAAAUGGAAUUGCUAUUUCUAUAUCCUUGAGGAAUCACCAGACUGUCUUCCACAAUGGUUGAACUAAUUUACACUCCAACCAACAGUGUAAAAGUGUUCCUAUUUCUCCACAUCUUCUCUAGCAUCUGUUGUCUCCAGAUUUUUUAAUGAUUGCCAUUCUAACUGAAGUGAGAUGGUAUCUCAAUGUAGUUUUGAUUUGCGUUUCUCUAAUGACCAGUGAUGAUGAGCAUUUUUUCAUAUGAUUAUUGACCUCAUAUAUGUCUUCUUUUGUAAAGUGUCUGUUAAUAUCCUUUGCCCUCUUUUGAAUGGGCUUGUUUUUUUCUUGUAAAUCUGUUUUAGUUCUUAGUAGAUUCUGGAUAUCAGCCCUUUGUCAGAUGAGUAGAUUGCAAAACUUUUUUCCCAUUCUGUUGGUUGCCGAUUCACUCUAAUCACUGCUUGUUUUGCUGUGCAGAAGCUGUGGAGUUUGAUUAGGUCCCAGUUGUCUGUUUUGGCAUUUGUUGCCAAUGCUUUUGGUGUUUGGGUCAUGAAGUCCUUGCCUACGCCUAUGUCCUGAAUGGUUUUGCCUAGAUUUUCUUCUAGGGUUUUUAUGGUGUUAGGUCUUAUGUUUAAGUCUUUAAUCCAUCUGGAGUGAAUUUUAGUGUAAGGUGACAGGAAGGGGUCCAGUUUCUGCUUUCUGCACAUGGCUAUCCAGUUUUCCCAACAUCAUUUAUUAAACAGGGACUCCUUUCCCCAUUGCUUGUUUUUGUCAGCUUUGUCAAAGAUCAGAUGGUUGUAGAUGUGUGGUGUUACCUCUGAGGCCUCUGUUCUGUUCCAAUGCUCUAUAUCUCUGUUUUGGUACCAGUACCAUACUGUUUUGAAUACUGUGUCCUUGUAGUAUAGUUUGAAGUCUGGUAGUGUGAUGCCUCUUGCUUUGUUUUUUUUUUGCUUAGAAUUGACUUGGCUAUGCGGGCUGUCUGUUGAUUGCAUGUGCAGUUUAAGGUGGUUUUUUCCAGUUCUGUGAAGAAGGUCAUUGGUAGCUUGAUGGGGAUAGCAUUUAAUUGUAAAUUACUUUGGGCAGAAUGGCCAUUUUCACGAUAUUGAUUCUUCCUAACCAUGAACAUGGAAUGUUUCUCCAUCUGUUUGUGUCCUCUCUUAUUUCAUUGAGCAGUGGCUUGUAGUUCUCCUUGAAGAGGUCCUUUACGUUCCUUGUUAGUUGUAUUCCUAGGUAUUUUAUUCUCUUUGUGGUAAUGUGAAUGGCAGUUCGUUCUUGAUGUGGUUCUCUUUAAGUCUGUUAUUGGUGUAUGGGAAUGCUUGUGAUUUUUGCACAUUGAUUUUGUAUCCUGAAACUAUGCUGAAGUUGCUUAUCAGUUUCAGGAGAUUUGGCGCUGAGACAAUGGGGUCUUCUACAUAUACAAUAAUGUCAUCUGCAAAUAGAGACAAUUUGACUUUCUCCUUUCCUAUUUGAAUACCCUUUAUUUCUUUUUCUUGCCUGAAUGCUCGGGCUAGAACUUCCAAUACUCUGUUGAAUAGGAGUGGUGAGAGAGGGCAUCCUUGUCUAGUGCCAGAUUUCAGAGGGAAUCCCAGGUUUUGCCCAUUCAGUAUGAUAUUGGCUGUGGGAUUACUGUAAAUAGCUUUUAUUAUUUGAGAUACUUUCCAUCAAUACCCAGUUUAUUGAGAGUUUUUAGCACAAAGGCCUGUUGAAUUUUGUUUAAGGGCUUCUCUGCAUCAAUUGAGAUAAUCAUGUGGUUUUUGUUUUUGGUUCUGUUUAUGUGGUGAAUUAUGUUUAUAGACUUGGGUAUGUUGAACCAGCCUUGCAUCCCUGGGAUGAAUCCUACUUGAUCGUGGUGGAUAAGCUUUUCCAUGUGCUGUUGCAAUCGGUUUGCCAGUAUUUUAUUGAAGAUUUUUGCAUCUAUGUUCAUCAUGGAUAUUGGCCUGAAGUUUUCUUUUCUUGCUGAGUCUCUGCCAGAUUUUGGUAUCAGGCUGAUAUUGGUCUCAUAAAGUGAUUUGGGAAGGAUUCCCUCUUUUUGGAUUGUUUGGAAUAGUUUCAGAAGGAAUGGUACCAGCUCCUCUUUGUAUGUCUGGUAGAAUUCGGCUAUGAACCCAUCUGGACCUGGGCUUUUUUUGGGUGUUAGAAUCUUAAUUGCUGCCUCAACUUCAGACCUUGUUAUUGGUCUAUUCAGGGUUUUGACUUCUUCCUGGUUUAGGCUUCGGAGGAUGCAAGUGUUCAGGAAUUUAUCCUGAAUUCCAGGUUUACCAGUUUAUUUGCAUAGAGAUGUUUGUAAUAAUCUCUGAUGAUGGUUUGUAUUUCUGUGGAAUCUGUUGUGAUAUCCCCUUAUUGCUUUUUAUUGCAUCUAUUUGAUUCUUUUCUCUUUUCUUUUUUAUUAAUCUGGCUAAUGGUCUGUCUAUUUUGUUGAUCUUUUCGAAAAACCAGCUCCUGGAUUUAUUGAUGUUUUUGAAGGGUUUUUUUGUGUCUCUAUCUCCUUCAGAUGUGCUCUGAUCUUAGUUAUUUCUUGUCUUCUGCUGGCUUUUGAGUUUUUUUUUUUUAUCUUCCUCCUCUAGCUCUUUAAAUUUUGACAAUAGCAUGUUGAUUUUAGAUCUCUCCUUGCUUCUCAUGUGGGCCCUUAUUGCUAUAUAUUUUCCUCUAGAGACUGCUUUAAAUGUGUCCCAGAGUUUCUGGUAUGUUGUGUUUUCAUUCUUGUUUGUUUGGAAGAAUAUCUUUAUUUCUGCCUUCAUUUCAUUGUUUGUCCAGUCAACAUUCAAGAGCCAGUUGUUCAGUUUCCAUGAAGCUGUGUGGUUCUGAGUUAGUUUCUGAAUUCUGAGUUCUAACUUGAUUGCACUGUGGUCUGAGAGAUGACUGUUUGUUAUGAUUUCCAUUCUUUUGCAUUUGCUGAGGAGUGAUUUACUUCCAAUUAUGUGGUCAACUUUAGAGUAGGUGCGAUGUGGUGCUGAGAAGAAUGUAUAUUCUGUGGAUUUGGGGUGGAGAGUUCUGUAUAUGUCUAUUAGGUUUGCUUGGUCCAGGUCUGAGUUCAAGUCCUUGAUAUCCUUGUUAAUUUUCUUUCUCGUUGAUUUGUCUAAUAUUGACAAUGGGGUGUUAAAGUCUCCCAGUAUUAUUGUGUGGGAGUCUAAGUCUCUUUGUAAGUCAUUAAGAACUUGCCUAUGUAUCUGGGUGCUCCUGUAUGGGGUGCAUAUAUAUUUAGGAUCAUUAGCUCUUAUUGUUGCAUUGAUCCUUUUACCAUUAUGUAAUAUCCUCUUUGUCUUUUUUGAUCUUUCUGGGUUUGAAGUCUAUUUUAUCAGAGACGAGAAUUGCAACUCCUGAUUUUUUUGCUCUCCAUUUGCUUGGCAAAUCUUCCUCCAUCUCUUUAUUUUGAGCCUUUGUGUAUCCUUGCAUGUGAGAUGGGUUUCCUGGAUACAGCACACUGAUGGGUUUUGGCUUUUUAUCCAAUUUGCCAGUCUGUGUCUUUUGAUUGGGGCAUUUAGCCCAUUUACAUUUAGGGUUAAUAUUGUUAUGUGUGAAUUUGAUCCUGCCAUUUUGAUGCUAGCUGGCUGUUUUGCCCGUUAGGUGAUGCAGUUUCUUCAUUGUGUUGAUGCUGUUUACCUUUUGGUAUGUUUUUGGAGUGGCUGGUACUGGUUGUUCUUUUCUAUGUUUAGUGCCUCUUUCAGGACCUCUUGUAAAGCAGGCCUGGUGAUGAUGAAAUCUCUGAGUACUUGCUUGUUCUCAAAGAUUUUAUUCUGUAGGACUGCUGAGGUCCAUUCCAUGCUCUGCUUGCCUGGGGAUCACAUGCAGCAGCUGCAGAACAGUAAGGGUUCCUGCCAGUUUAUUCUUCUGCUAUCUUUGUCCCAGAAGGAUACCUGCCAAAUUUCAGUCUGAGCUCUCCUUUAUGAGGUGACUCUGGAUAUAUGGGGGUCAGGGAGCUGCUUGAGGAGACAGUCUGCCCUUUAUAGGAGCUCCAGUGCUGAGCUGUGAACUCUGUUGUUCAUUCAGAGCUACUGGGCAGGUACAUUUAAGUCUGCUGCAGAUGAACUCAUAAACCCCUCCCUUUUUUUCUCCAGGUGUUCUGCCCUGGGGAGUUAGGGCUUUAUUUUUGAGUUUCUGUUGUGCUGCUGGCUUUUUUCAGGGCUGCCCUGCCCAGGAAGGAGGCAGCCUAGUCACUGUCUGCCUGCAGAGACUUUGCUGAGCUGCUUUGGGCUCUGCUAAGCUGCUGUGUGAACUUCCCUGCAGUCAUGUUUAUAUGGGUGUAGUUAGAACUGCCUCAGCAAUGGUGGCCCACCUCUAUAAUGUUGGACUCUCUCUGUAAUGGGGGGCUGCCUUGGCAAUGGCAGGCUGCCUCAGCAAUGGCAAACUACCUCCAUAGUGGUGAACUGCCUUGGUAAUGGCAGACGCCCCUCCCCCACAUAGCUGGACUGUCUCAGGUUCAGCUGUGCUUGCUGUGAAACUCUCAAUCCAGAGCGUUUCUGAUUGCUGUUUUUUUGUGGGAGUGGGACCAGCUGAGCCUGAUCACCUAGCUCCCUGCCUCAGAGGCCCCCUUCUUUUGGUUUUUUAGUUGAAUGGUGGACUCUGUCUCCCAGGUGUUCCAGUCACCUGUUGAAAAGGCACUGUGAUCUGUGUGAUUUCCCAUGUGGUGACCCACUGCACUGGCUGAAACAGCCACGCUGAGAUUUGUGGCGCUUUUUUGCCUGGGAGUCUCCUGGCCUGGCUCCAUGUUUCAGUCCCCUUUUUAAUCAGAUGUAUGGGUGACUCUGUCUCCAAGGAGCUCCAAAUGCCACCCAGAACAGCACCCAGACCUGUGUAUUUUGUAUGGAGAACCACCACACUGGGGUGCCAGCAAAACAGCUGUACCAGCCAAACCAGCCACACCGGUAACCCAUGGGGCUCCUCUGCCUAGGAAUAUCCUGGUCUGUGGGCAAUAAAAAUCCAUCUGGAAAUGCAGUGUCCACUCACCCUCCAUGCUUUCACUGGGAGCUCCAAUCCUUAGCUGUUCCUAAUCAGCCAUCCCUUUUUUUUUUUUGAGACAGAGUCUCAAUCUGUCACUCAGGCUGGAGUGCAGUAGUGUAAUCUUAGCUCACUGCAGCUUCUGCCUCCUGGAUUCAAGGGAUUCUUAUGCCUCAGCCUCCUGAGUAGCUGGGGUUACAGGUGCUGUCACCAUGGUCAGCUAAUUUUUGUAUUUUUGGUAGAGAUGGGGUUUCAUCAUGUUGGCCAGGCUGAUCUUGAACUCUUGGCCUCAAGUGGUCCUCCUGCCUUGGCCUCCCAAAGUGCUGAUAUUACAGGUGUGAGUCAUCAUGUCCUGCCUGUUUUUACUUUCUUAAUUCCUUUUUUUGCAAUUUUUUUAUUGAGAUAAAAAUUCACAUAAAAUACAUCAUUUUAAAGUGUACAAUCUCAUGGUCUUUUAUUAUAGUCACAAUGAUGUGCAACCAUGACCACUGUCUAAUUUCAAAUCAUUUCCAUCACUUCAAGAGGAGACCAUGGAAACCAUAAGCAGUCACUUCUUUUCCCCCUGCCUGUUCCCUGGCAACCACUAAUCUAUUUUCCAUCUCUUUGGAUUUGCCUAUUUUGGACAUUUUGCAUGAAUGAAAUCAUUGGCUAUGUGACCUCUAGUGUCUGGCCUCUUUCAUGUAGCAUAAUGUUUUGAAGGUUCAUUCCUGUUGUAGCAUGAAUCAGCACUCCAUUCUGUCUGGUGGAGGACCCUUGGGCCUCUCUUACCCCCCCCCCGCCCCACCCAGGGCCCAGCCACAUGGAAGGUAUUUUACUUCCCCAUGUGGAAAGUCCCUCUCCGCUUACAUGGGAAGUUCCCAUCUUGCCCUGCCCGGCUUCCCGGCUCAGCUCUCCCAGACCCCGACUGGCGCAACUCCAGCUACCUCCCGCCCAGCGACCACCCAACCAAUCACCACCCGCCCCAUCAGCUCUCCCCCAACUUCCUACCCGGCAGUUUAAACUGACCAACCGCUACCCACCACCUCGGCUCUCCCACUCCCUCAGCUCCACUACCCCUAUAAAAACCGCAAGACAAAGAAAACCGGCGCGAGACUGCUGACUCUCCCCCGUGCACGAGUCUAGUCUGCCCAGAGACUCCCUAAUAAAGCCUGAACUCUUACUUCGUCUCGUUUAAUUCGAUCAGGCCUUGGGGUCCAAGCAACGAGGGUCCGGGCAGGUCAGACAACUGGUGCCGGAAACCCAGGAGAAGGGUGGCCGGUCUGGUACCUGGCCCUCGGGGCCCAGGCCGCGGCCUCCCUCUCAACCCCGGUCUGCCUGCCUCGCCACUGCAAGACUCUGAAUAAGUUCCUACAACGACGUUUACAAGAACUAACUUGAGUCACCAUCCACCAAAUGCUACUCCAGCCCCUCAACUCAAGCCACCAGCCCGAGUGAAGCCUCCUCCAGCCAACCUAACUCCUUAUCUCUUUUCCCUUGGUCGCCCAAAGUCAGCAGGAAGUAGCCAGAGAGACAGCCGCCGCCCUUUUUCCUCUUUAAGGAGUUGGGAAUGUCUGGUGGAGGACCCUUGGGCCUCUCUUACCCCCCCCCCCGCCCCACCCAGGGCCCAGCCACAUGGAAGGUAUUUUACUUCCCCAUGUGGAAAGUCCCUCUACGCUUACAUGGGAAGUUCCCAUCUUGCCCUGCCCGGCUUCCCGGCUCAGCUCUCCCAGACCCCGACUGGCGCAACUCCAGCUACCUCCCGCCCAGCGACCACCCAACCAAUCACCACCCGCCCCAUCAGCUCUCCCCCAACUUCCCGCCCGGCAGUUUAAACUGACCAACCGCUACCUGCCACCUCCGCUCUCCCACUCCCUCAGCUCCACUACCCCUAUAAAAACCGCAAGACAAAGAAAACUGGCACGAGACUGCUGACUCUCCCCUGUGCACGAGUCUAGUCUGCCCGGAGAUUCCCUAAUAAAGCCUGAACUCUUACUUCAUCUCAUUUAAUUCGAUCGGGCGUUGGGGUCCAAGCAACGAGGGUCCGGGCAGGGUUUCACUGUUGCCCAGGCUGGAGUGCUGGAGUAUGAUCUUUGCUCACUACAGCCUCAAAUUCAUGAGCUCAAGUGAUCUUCCCACCUUAGCCUCACCAGUACCUGGGACUACAGGCUUACACCACCAUACGCAGCUAAGUCUUUUGUUUGUUUGUUUGUUUUAGAGACAAGGUCUUGAUAUGUUGCCCAGGUUUGUCUUGAGUUUCUGGCCUCAAAUGAUGCUCCCACCUUGGCCUCCCAAAGUGUUAGAAUUACAGGUGUGAACCACCAUUUCCAGCCCACAUUGUAGUUUUAUUCUUUUCUCACAUAUUGCUUUUCUGACAUCAAUUCCCUCAAAUAUUUAUGCAUUUUUAAAUAUUAACACACACACACACACACACACGUAUAUGUUUUGGUAAGCUGCCUCAAACCUUUAUGGGACAUAGUGUUGGGGCUCAGAAAAUGAUACCCUAAAAUAUGGUGCUUUGUUGUGGUGAACCAAGGUCUUUCUCUGAGCUUCCCCUGCCCACCUGUCUCCUGAUCUUUCUUUGCCAAAGCACUGGGAAGGGUUUCCUCUGAAGUUCCCUUCAAAGAACUUCUGAUUAAGGGAAGUUCCUCCAGAAGAAGCAACUAUCUUAAAACUCCCUCUCUAGAAAUCACAUCAAAUAUCUAGAAACAAUUAACCACCAGAGAGAAGACUAAAAGUCAUAAUCACACCCAGACUUUUCAUCUAUUCUUCUGAGGGCAGUUUUGAGAGAUUACCUGGAGACUUCAGCUGCAUAAUAAAACAACAAUUCCUACUGCAGUUCUGACCCAUACCUUCCUGUAAUUUGCCACCACAUCCCCCAGACCUCAAAAAAACUUUGUCACAGGCCCAUUGUCCAUUAUUUGGGCUCAUUUAUUUCCCCUAAAAAUCAUUCACUACCCCUCAAAGUUGCCUACACCCCCAUCUCUCUCUCCCCUAUGAAGAGGUUCCACUUAAGCCUCAGUCGUCUGGGCCUUCUUUGAGUCUCAUAUUUUUUAUGAUUCUGUGCUUAUUCACAUUAAUAAAUGCGUAUGCUUUUUCUCCUGUUAAUCUGUCUAUUGCCAGUUCAUUUUAGCAGCAAAUCCUCAGAGGGUGGAAUGGAAGUUUUUCCUUCCCCGUUACAACAGUUAUAUGAAUAGAAUUUAAAAUGUAGAUUGAGUUGUUAUUGCUGUUGAAUCUUGGUCUCACUUGUGCCCUCUAGAGCCACACCAAACCCGUUCAAUCCUGUGUUGAUUUGAAAGCCGGCUACAGGUUAACCCUAAGCUUUUUCCUGGGUGAUUCUUGAGAAAAGAUCUCAUCCUUCACCUAGGCCGGAGUGCAGUGGUGCAAUUAUGGCUUCCUAUAGCCUCAAACUAAAGGCCUAAGUGAUCCUCCUACCUCAGCCUCCUGCGUAGCCGAGAUUACAGAUAAGGAAGUCAAGUUUGAAGCCCAUGGAGACUUUGAUGCAGCCUUGCUGGCUUGAAGAUGGAGGGGUGUCAUGUGCAAAGACAUGGGUGACUUCCCGGUUAACGGUUAGCAAGGAAACCAGGACUGCAGUCUCACAACCAAAAAGAAUUGAAUUCUGCCAAUGACAGGAAUGAGCUUGGAAGUGGAUUUUUCCCCAGAGCCUCCAGAGGACUUUGCCCAUGAGCAGCGAAGCCAGCCAUGCUGUGCAGAACUUCUGACCUACAGAACUCUGUGCUAACAAAUGAGUAUUGUUUUAGGCUGCCAAGUUUGUGGCAGUUUGUUACAUAGCAAUCAUUGUAGAGGGUCAAAAUGAAAUAGGAGUUCAGAUAAGCUCCUCCCCACCAGCAGAAGCUGAAUUUAAGUGGAUUGCAUCAGCUCCAGGGAGAAAUCAGGGAAGGUGUGUUCUGAAUGUGAUUAAAAUGGAAAACUCACUGGGUUUGACUAAAUUUAUCUGAGGCUAGAUUGAGUUUCCAAACAAGAGAGAGAAUGGGGUGGGGUGGGGGGACUUAAGUUAAACAUUGGUAAAAUGAAGUUACAUUUUUAUGCUUUUGAAUCUGUGUCCUGUGAAAUUUAUACUCACUGUUAUUGGUUGCUAAAAGUGGUUAAGAAUGUCCUUGCCCUACAAUUUCCAUGGCACAACACACAUUUAUUUUGCUUUGUUGCAGAUAAUUCAUGUGCAUUUCCCUCAUGCCUAGAUCUUCAUUGGAACAUGGAUUAAAAAACUUGAAGGGAAACAUCCACCAAUUACAACACAUGAAACUUACAUAGAACCUCAUCCAAAAAAACUGUCAUGGAAACAAAUCAUGAGGUAAUGGAGAACUUUGAA